rnacentral:lncRNA from 1 species
UCAAGGUUAACUCCUUGAUAACCUUCAAGGCUUUUUGUAUUCUGUCUAACUUUUUCAUUGAAAUUAUUCUGCUUUAUAACUUGCUUUUCUCACUUUUUAUCAUGGAUCUUCUCCCAUAACAUCAGAAAUCAGGUUUCUGAAGGAAAUUUCAAGGCUGAACAUUGUCCAUGUGUGUGGAGACGCCAUGACAGAGUUAAACAGAAUUCCCUGUGCAGGGCAGAAGGUGGUACUGUGUGAUAACCAACGUUCUGCGGAGCUGCCGGGAGGGAAGUCUUUGCAUGCAUCCUCAAUACUUUUAUUGAGAAGCUCUUUUGGCAGGAGAAUUGCUGGUCUAAAAGGUAAAACUGGCGUCAACAGGAUAUUUUUUUUCUUAAUACCACACAUAGUUUAAUUCUCACUAAAAAAAAAAUUACAAAUGUAAACCAAACUUCAAAAACAAUGAAAGGUAAAGAAAGCAGUUAUACCUGCACUCCAAAUUCAGGGCUUCCUUAUCCUCUGGAGUCUUUCUUUUGGCCUGUUCAUCCCAGACCCUUGCUGUCCAUUCUUCGCCCUUCUUAGUCCUGAAUGGCCGUCUCAGUCUCCACUGCUGCUCCCCCGGGAGGAGUGGAAACUGGGCGGUGAUGGUGUGCUGGUCAGUGUGUAUCAGCCGGCUCUGCAGAGAAGCAGGGAAGCCCUGUUUGCCAUUUUUUGUGAAAACCUCAGAAUAGCCAGUUUCAAGCUACCAGCAUGAUAUCACCCAAUGCAGAGCAGGAAUAGAUGCACAUGAUUGGCUCCUAUGAACUGGAAUGAGCCCCCUCUGGCACCCAUGUGGGUAUCAGUGGGUGGACAGCACAGCCACCUGUCCCCUUUCCCCAAGGAUGUGUGAGGUCCAAGAGGUGAGCCAUGCUUUUUUAUUUUUGUUUAUUUCAGUCUCCCUGAUAGAGCCUGGAGGAGAACCAAUUAAAAUUUCAGGUGAAUUAGAAAAGAAGGCACCUUGCUGUCACUCCUCCCAUCCUGCAAAUAGUUUCUAUGUAGUUAUAGGGACUUUCUGCCUGCAAAAUAUGCACAUCCUUCUUUUUCAUGAUUUUUGGGAAAUAGUUGAACAUGCAAACAUAUAAUUGUGGUAAUGAUUGAAAUCUGCUUAUACUAAAAUGAAAAUGACUACGGUAAGAUUCUUUUCUGUUUAGAUUAUGGUAAAUAGAGUGGCAGGUAUCAGAUGUCAGAAACAUUCUUUUGCUUUAACUACUUCAUCUUAAAAAUUAAAAAAAUCAAUUCAGUUCUUUUAUAUCUAAUGACAUUUCAAUUGUCAUUGCUAUUAUUAUUUACAAAUAUUUCCAGGGUAUCCCUGUGUGCGUAAGAGUAUGUAUUACAUGCAGGGAUGGGUAUGAAGCUGGCUAGGGCUGGGUGCAGUGGCACAUGCCUGUCAUCCCAGCAGCUUGGGAGACUGAGGCAGGAGGAUCACAAGUUCUAAGCCAGUCUCAGAUGCUAAGAAACUCAGUGAGACCCUGUCUCUAAAACAACAACAACAACAAAAAUACGAAAUAUACGAAAUAGGGCUGGGGAUGUGGCUCAGUGGUCAAGUGCCCCUGAGUUCAAUCCCUAAUACCAAAAAAAAAAAAAAAAAAUGCUGGCUAAUAUGAAGAGCCCAAUAUUGAACAUCUAUGGUGUUAAGAGCUGGGCUAAAUGAUUUAUAUACUUCUAUGCAGUUUAGUCUUCA